GUCGAAACACCUGUUGCUGUACGAUCACAGAAGUUAAGUAACGUCGAGCCUGGUUAGUACCUUGAUGGGUAACCGCUUCAAAAUAGUAAGUGCUGUAAG